rnacentral:rRNA from 1 species
AUGGCCCCCAAUAGGGCCCCCGGGCCUGACAACAUCCCUGCUGAGUUCUAUCAGGUAUGCUGGGAUAUAGUUAAAGACGACAUUAUGGCCAUGUUUAAAGCUUUCCACCAAGGAACGCUGGAUGUUCAGAGGUUGAAUUAUGGAGUGAUCACCCUACUCCCUAAAGUCUCUGGGGCUGAGAAGAUUCAGCAGUAUAGGCCUAUAUGCUUAUUGAGAUGCCCAUACAAGUUAAUCACGAAAAUCCUCGACCGAAGAGUUGCUGUAUAUGCAAACAAACUCAUUAGCCCUACUCAAAACGCCUUUGUAAAGGGGAGAAACAUCAUGGAUGGAGUCCUGUCCCUUCAUGAGCUUCUUAAUUACACAUACGUUAAGAAGAGAGUGGGGAUUGUCCUUAAAUUGGACUUUGAAAAAGCUUAUGACAAGGUGAAUUGGGACUAG